UACGUAGGUGGCAAGCGUUUAUCCGGAAUUAUUGGGCGUAAAGCGCGCGCAGGCGGUCCUUUAAGUCUGAUGUGAAAGCCCACGGCUCAACCGUGGAGGGUCAUUGGAAACUGGGGGACUUGAGUGCAGAAGAGGAGAGCGGAAUUCCACGUGUAGCGGUGAAAAUGCGUAGAGAUGUGGAGGAACACCAGUGGCGAAGGCGGCUCUCUGGUCUGUAACUGACGCUGAGGCGCGAAAGCGUGGGGAGCGAACAGG
rnacentral:rRNA from 1 species